GAUGAACGCUGGCGGCGUGCCUAAUACAUGCAAGUCGAGCGAACAGACGAGGAGCUUGCUCCUCUGACGUUAGCGGCGGACGGGUGAGUAACACGUGGAUAACCUACCUAUAAGACUGGGAUAACUUCGGGAAACCGGAGCUAAUACCGGAUAACAUGUUGAACCGCAUGGUUCAACAGUGAAAGACGGUCUUGCUGUCACUUAUAGAUGGAUCCGCGCCGCAUUAGCUAGUUGGUAAGGUAACGGCUUACCAAGGCAACGAUGCGUAGCCGACCUGAGAGGGUGAUCGGCCACACUGGAACUGAGACACGGUCCAGACUCCUACGGGAGGCAGCAGUAGGGAAUCUUCCGCAAUGGGCGAAAGCCUGACGGAGCAACGCCGCGUGAGUGAUGAAGGUCUUCGGAUCGUAAAACUCUGCUAUUAGGGAAGAACAAAUGUGUAAGUAACUAUGCACGUCUUGACGGUACCUAAUCAGAAAGCCACGGCUAACUACGUG
rnacentral:rRNA from 1 species